rnacentral:sRNA from 18 species
CCAAAUGUUUUCUAGGGUUCCGCUUGCAAGGCAAGGCCUGGUCCGAGAGAAAACGCAAAAAAGAUUGUCUUUUUUGUCCACGGAGGGAGAAAAGCCCGGGAGAU